GCCAAACAAUUGAUUAUUCCUAAUAGACUCUACUAUUCAUGUCGUAAAAAGUUUUAUAAGGAUCCUAUUGUUGAAUUAAUAAACUUCAUGUAACAGACUGAUACAAUGAUUUUUUUAAUUCUUGACCUAACUUGUCACCCGUUUUUACCUAGAAGUAGUUAUAAUUUGUUCCACAAACUCGGUCGGUUCGGUUUUUAAGUCUUUGAUACAAUUGUUGUAGGUACUGUACCAACGAGAAGUAUACUUCAGAGUCUAUGAGGGGAUAAGUAAAGCAGCUAAGAAUAAACCGAAAAUACUCGUAUCAAAUUUGUUGUUAUCACGUACUUUCUUUGGCAAUGACUGUUCCUUGAGGAAAAUCUUUUAGUUAAGAAUUGAGAACUCCUGUUGACCUGAGGGAAGUUGAAAAGAAAAAACUCCAAGUUAUGCAAAGGAUAAAUAAGUAUCUUCCGUCCUUAAAGACGGCGUUAUUGCAGCACCUAUGUUAGUCCACCAACUACGUCGGUAUGGAAUGUGUUUAAUAAGUAUUGGGGAAGGGAUCGAUUAGACACUAGGCGGUGUAAUCGACUAGAGGAUUGGGUCGAGUGGAAGGUCGAAACCGCACGGAGGUAAUCUACGAACUGUAGGACUUGGUUUCCGGGAACGGUUCUAUCUAAGACUUCGAAGGCUUGAUAGAGGAACGUUAGGUAGAAUUACACAUAUACACGACGUAACUGUAGUAGGCGGUCAACCCGACGGGAAAACGUGCGGUCAUCGAGGUGGAAGCGGCCGGGGUGGGGGACGCUCUUUAUCACUGUACCAACGAAACCAAAGGAAUUUUAAUACGUUCGUUACGUUUCAAUUGCUUUAUACGGAAUUAUCUUAACUCUUAACACUUCAUUUUAGUCUUAUGUAGAGGUGAUUCUGUAGAAAUUACUUUUGUGUUAAAUAAUGUGUCUAGAGUAUACGAAGAAAUUAAGACCUAGUAGUUGAAAUUAGUUCUAAAGGCACUACUUUUAUUGUUGGUGAGAGUGUAGUGUGAAUUUAUAACAUUUAUAUCACAACGUUAGAUUUUGUGUUAUAACGUCGUCGUUAAAGCAACUGUAUCGAUAUGAUAACGAUCAAGCUGCCUUGUUUUCCUAUAUGUGGUCGCUCUUUGUACAUGGUUUCCUUGCCUUCAUGGAAGAAUGACAUCCAAUCUUAUUCAUCACGUCGUUCCGACCACGGAAAAUAUCGUGACCGGUUGGUAAAAAAUAAUCUCUAUCAUUCAUAGUUAACUUUCCACUAGAAUCUUAUAUCUCCGCUACGUAAGCGUCUAUGGAAGAUACCCUUCGGUUAGGUGCAUUUAACCUAUUUUAUAACAAGUAUGAAGUAAGACCUGAACUUAGUUCCUAUCCGACGAUGUCGAAAGAUCAUUUUUGUGUUACGUUGGGAUAAUUAUCAUCUGAGUUACUUCGUAGUUAGUAUAUUAAACAAUCUAAAAAACAUACUAUUAUUAACGACGUGCAGAACUGAUUAUGUUUAUGUGAACUUUAUGCAUUAUUGGAUCGUCUUUAGAUUCGGAUUUUUUGUAUGCUAAACGGGUGAAAACCAUACAAAGUCUGAAACUAAAUUCUUAAGAAUUUGUAUGGGUAAGUAGAGGUUUUAACUUAUUUUAACUGUUCGUAAGUAUCUAUGUACUUGGAAGCAAAACUGCCAGAACUACCAGAACACCUACGGACUUUAUGCUCGCCACCGACCUGCUUUACACAAGUGACGUCGUACCCUCGAUUAUUUAGUGAGGUCGUCUAAUCACGGUUUGGAUGGGGCGAAUAGGUAUCCGUGUACUCGUUCGUCUCGUAUCACUGUACUAUAAGUCUAUCACCAUCACCCGUCUCUCUUCUAGUCUGGCUGGGUGGGUUCGUUCGUUUCGGUCACUCGGUACCGCCUUCGUUUCCACGUGCCUCGCUUGGGUGUACCGUGGCCGCGGCCCCUGCGACACACGCCUCGAGGGGUAGUGGAAGAAGCUGCUGCACACGACCGAGAAGUGCCUGGGACAGCUCGCGGAGAAGAAGAUGGCGGUCCAACUGGGCCGGCGGCGCAAGGGCGGCGUGCGCGAGUGGGCGAAGGAGGGCGAGCGGCCGUAGGAGUCGGGGCGGCGGGCGACGAAGAGGAUGAGGUCGCCGGUGCUACGCGAGCUGGAGGUGGAGGUGACCUGCCUCCUCUCCCUGGGGCGACGACGGCAGCGUCAGUCCAGCGCGACGCAGGGCGCGGCGGCGGCGAAGAGCCGCCUCCUCUCCUUGGGGCGGCGGCUGCUUCCCGGCUCGGGGGACGCAGAGUGCGGCGGCGGUGGCGGCGACGGAGACGAGCUGCCUCCUCUCCUUGGGCCGGCGGCUGCUUCCGGCUCGGGUGACAUAAAGUGCGGCGGCGGCGACGAACUCCUUCCUCUCCCUGGGGACACCGCCGCUCCUCCUCUCUCCUCCCUCCCUACCCCUGCUACCUCCGCCCCGUCCUACU
rnacentral:rRNA from 1 species